GACGAACGCUGGCGGCGUGCUUAACACAUGCAAGUCGAACGGAAAGGCCCUGCUUUUGUGGGGUUCUCGAUUGGCGAACGGGUGAGUAACACGUGUGUAACCUGCCCUUGUAUUUGGGAUAACUUCAGGAAACUGGGGCUAAUACCCGAUAGGAUCUCCUGCUGCAUGGUGGGGGUUGGAAAGUUUCGGCGGUUGGGGAUGGACUCGAGGCUUAUCAGCUUGUUGGUGGGGUAGUGGCUUACCAAGGCUUUGACGGGUAGCCGGCCUGAGAGGGUGACCGGCCACAUUGGGACUGAGAUAGGGCCCAGACGCGUACGGGAGGCAGCAGUGGGGAAUAUUGCACAAUGGGCGGAAGCCUGAUGCAGCAACGCCGCGUGCGGGAUGACGGCUUUCGGGUUGUAAACCGCUUUCGCCUGUGACGAAGCGUGAGUGACGGUAAUGGGUAAAGAAGCACCGGCUAACUACGUG
rnacentral:rRNA from 1 species